ACAAUAAAUCGAGCUGUAAGUUACCAUAAUGUUAAUACAUUUAGUAAUGAUCUUUUCAUAUAGGCCUGCAGUAUGUCAUAAGCAUCUUGUUUGCUCUUUUGCUAUUUUGUAAAAGUAGUGGCUGCAUUUUUGUUGAUUGUCGUCAGCCCUAAUUUUGUUUCAUGUAAUGGCACUGAAACAUUUUAUAUUUGUGUGCCUGUUUUUUAGAAACCACUUCCAAGCACCAAACGUGUGUAUUCAUUAAACUUGUACCAUACAUUAGUUAAUUUUAUUCAUAUACUGCAAUGAAAACAUCUGACCAAUUAAAUAUAUAGCAACAUUCAAAUAAAACUAAACACGUUUAUUUUCUUUUAAAAACAACCUAUCUUAACUAUAGCUGUUGUUACUACACUUGCUAUUGGUAAACAGAUGUCAUUGGUUGACUCCCCGUGCUGCUUUGAGCACGAUUGGGUAAACUUACUGUCAUUCAGGAAACUAGCCAAUUAGAGCUGUUCGCGCCCUUCACUGGUUCAUUUUGAACAUACGCGAGGAAUUGAUGUCUGUCAGUUAGUUUCAGUAGUAUUGAUGCUCCAGUUAUAUGUAAACAGCGCUGGAGACACGAAGUCGUGUGGAAGUUGCAGGCUGCUGGAGAAUAAUCACACGCAUUAACAGCUUUACCAGCAGAAGUACACAGAAAUAUAUGAUAAGAUUUGCCUGGGCAGUACACACACCUGAUGAAGGGAAGGAAAGCUGCCCAGGCACCCAAACUCCAUCAGUAGUAAGUGUUUAAACUUUCGACCUGAGUAUUUGUGUUAUGUUGUUAUUAACAAUUGUGUAAUAUUAUGUAUCCUUAAUACUGUUAUAAUGUAACUCUGUAACCGUUUGGGUUACGUAUUUCGUGGGUUAAAACAACAAAAUAAGUGACUUUUUAUUUUCUAACUCUUACAAUAACAAUCACGUACAGUUAAACAUUUACAUCAUGAAAGAAAAAUUGUCCAUUCCUUUAACUGGUGACUGUUUUGCUGAUUUAAUGAUGGAAGUUAUAAGACUUGCAUUUAAGUUAGCAUUGCAACUUGUAACUUGUUUUCUAACAGUAUACUCUGUAUUCACAUUGCCAUAAUGUAUAAUGAUGGCAGAUUUAGUCCUUUAUCUAACGUUACUACAUUGCAUAUUUGCCACAGACUCAUUUACUUUUUUGUGGUAUGUUUUUACUUAUGGUAUGAUUUACUUAUUCUGACAGUUUGAUGUUUGUCCAAAUAUACUAUCAAAACUUCCUCCAAUAUCUACUUGUGACCCUGUGUGACUCCACUUGAAACUGUUUUGUAUUUCUCCAGGAUUAAAAGUUUGUUUUAUAAGAAUUUGAUGCAUGUAUUGUAUGGGGAUGUGCUUAUUAUUUACUUUAUUAUAUUCAACCAUUUGUUUAAAGCGUAUAUUGUAAUUCUGUACUGUAAAGUUAAUCAUUGUGUAUUUCGAGUGUACUUUUACAAAUUAUGGUGAUUGUGUUCAUAUGAUUAAUAUGUUUACCUAAAUAAAAUGUUAUUC